AAGACUAUAGACCUGCGGAGUACCUGCGGAGGGAUCAUUACUGAAUAAAGUGCGGUUGUGGGUUGUUGCUGGCAAUCCUCGUGUUGCAUGUGCACACCUCGGCCGCUCUGUCAUUCAAUUCCACCUGUGCAUCCUCUUGUAGGCCAGAUUGCCAUCUCAAAUGCCGAUGUUCUCGCUCGGAACACUUUGCUUUUUGGUUGGGACUUGCUGUUGCGGGCUCAUCAUGCAUCGCGACGGCUC
rnacentral:misc_RNA from 1 species